AAAUAAAGAAAGCCCUAAGCUUAUAUAUAAAAUUUCUUUUUUUGGAGCAAUUAUACCAAAUACAUAAGCCUCAAAUAACCAACAACAUCCAAAAUAUGAUAAAAUCCUCUAAACCCUUAUAUACCCUUGUGUAUAAAUUUUUCCGAACUUCAAUACCUCAUAUCUCGUUAUCUGACCGUCCAAACUUACUCAAAUUUUACGUAAAGUACUAAUGUAUUCUUAUAAAUUUUUACAACAAAUUUCAACCACAAAUUCAUUGCGGAUCUUAAGAUAUCACUAAAAUCCUAACAAUAGCUUCAAACCCUAGUUUUUAUACAUCUAUGUGCAAUUUUCUUCAUAUCUCACAAACUAAACACCCAAAUGCCACAAAGUUUG
rnacentral:lncRNA from 1 species